CCGUCCACGUGACCGCACUACUCAGAUAUCUCCUCGUGCUCAUCUUUGCUGAGUCAUUUUGGCUCACGCGACCUGGCAAACACCAGCAAUGUUCAGCGAAAGGGACGACCCAGCUGAAGCAACUGCAGCGUCCCGGCGCUUCCGCGGGAACAACUGCUCCAGGAAAAAUAAGGAAACGCCGUUUGGGAACAUGGGAGAAAAGAAUGGAAACAUCUCACACGACUACACAUCUGAAGCUCACGUGCGACGCUCCACUAUUCGCCGCCGCCCGGCGCGUCCCCGGUUCUUGUGCAAUCAGACGACAGUUGCACAGAAGCCGCAGAAGAGUCGCCAUGAAGGGUUUGCUGCACCGAUAUGUCGCUGCACAUGCAGUGGGGCGGGGGCGGCCGUCUCGGAGCUUCAUUACCGAUCCUCCAUCGUGAGAAGAAUAAUGGCUUUUUACAGGUCAGCCGUGCGCGAAGCGUCAGAGGUCACUUCUGUGCACGAGCUUCAAAGCUGCUGUAGUUUCUGA
rnacentral:lncRNA from 1 species